rnacentral:sRNA from 1 species
ACCCGACCUGAGUGGAGCUCAUUUUUUUGCUGUGGGAAAAGCCUUGGCAAAAAAUAGCGGGAACGGAGGGCGGAUAAGUUG